UACGUAGGUGGCAAGCGUUAUCCGGAAUUACUGGGCGUAAAGCGCACGCAGGCGGUCUUUUAAGUUUGACGUGAAAGCUCCCGGCUUAACUGGGAGAGGUCGUUGAAGACUGGAAGACUUGAGGCAAUGAGAGGGGUGUAGAAUUCCCGGUGUAGUGGUGGAAUGCGUAGAUAUCUGGAGGAACACCAGUGGCGAAGGCGCCUAACUGGCCGGUUACUGACACUGAGGGACGAAAGCAAGGGGAGCAAACAGG
rnacentral:rRNA from 1 species